rnacentral:piRNA from 1 species
UAGAUCUGUGGAGGGGUGUCUACUCCUUUGG